AUUGAACGCUGGCGGCAGGCCUAACACAUGCAAGUCGAGCGAGCGGCGGACGGGUGAGUAAUGUCUGGGAAACUGCCUGAUGGAGGGGGAUAACUACUGGAAACGGUAGCUAAUACCGCAUACCAUCAGAUGUGCCCAGAGGGGAUUAGCUAGUAGGUGGGGUAACGGCGCACCUGGGGGACGAUCCCUAGCUGGUCUGAGAGGAUGACCAGCAACACUGGAACUGAGACACGGGCCAGACGCCUACGGUAGGCAGCAGUGGGGAAUAUGGCACAAUGGGCGAAAGCCGGAUGCAGCCAUGCCGCGUGGGGGAAGAAGGCCUUCGGGUUGUAAAGCACUUUCAGCGGGGAGGCGUUACCCGCAGAAGAAGCACCGGCUAACUCCGUGCCAGCAGCCGCGGUAAUUC
rnacentral:rRNA from 1 species